UUUGUCCCGUCUAGAAACACGGACCAAGGAGUCUAACAUAUGUGCGAGUACUGGGGGAACACACCUUGGUGCGCAAUGAAAGUGUCAGAGGCUGGAGCACAGUCCGCCGGCCUCAAUCCCUCGGGAAAAUGGUCUGAGUGUGAGCAUACAUGUUGGGACCCGAAAGAUGGUGAACUAUGCUUGAGUAGGGUGAAGCCAGGGGAAACUUUGGUGAAGGCUCGCAGCGAUUCUGACGUGCAAAUCGAUCGUCAAACUUGAGUAUAGGGGCGAAAGACUAAUCGAACUAUCUAGUAGCUGGUUCCCUCCGAAAUU
rnacentral:rRNA from 1 species